GUAUUUUCUUGGAAAUCUCUAAUUGGUUGUUAAGAGUUUCAUUGUUCUAGGUUAGUUUAACUAGAUAUCUUUAUGUAUUCAAAUUCAAAUUAUUAUUUACUAAAUUUGAUAUUUUAAAUUGAAGUGGGUCAAAAUUGAUAGGUUUUAUUGCCAGAGACAAUAAAUUUGACGAAAAUGGGUUAGACAAAGAUGAGAAUUGAUGAACCAUUAUGAGAUACAGAGAGGUGGCUGAUUCGUAUUGGAAGCGUUGGGUUGUUGCUUCUCUUUAUGUGUGUAGUUGGUUGGCUCUCAUUGUAAACUGGAUGGUUAAUUAUUAUUAUUUUUAGUUAGAUAGGAUGAUUACUCUUUUAUACCAAAAUAUUCGUUCACCUUUUCUUGAAGGUAUUGAAAUUUGAUAAACUGAAAAUGUUACCAGUUAUGAUACUAAUUCAGUAACAUCCUUUUAUUGAAGGUUUGCUAUACAUAUGUCAUUUUAGCGUG